CACAGCUGCAGCCAACAGCCACAGACUGCCAUGGAGUCAUCACAAAAUCAUUCAGACUCCAGGUGGGUGCAGGAUGCACUGCUGUUACCCUGCUGCUGAGCUGCUGAGUACGUUGUGUCACAGCCACCCUGGCACCGUGAGGCUGAUGGAUGUGAUUACACGGCUGCUGGCCAUGCCUAUGUGCCACCCAUCGUAGGCUGGCUGUGCUGCACCAUGAUGCUGAGCAUGCAGUGAGCAGAGGUCGCAGCAGCAGCCGUCACCCUGCUCAGUGGCAGGUCUAUCUCACAGCCCGUGGGCGAGGGACCGGCAGAGCUGAACGUUGAUUUCUGAUCUGUUUAUUGUUAAUGGAAGAGGAAAGCUCCACCACUACCUUC
rnacentral:lncRNA from 1 species